rnacentral:rRNA from 1 species
AUGAGAAUUCUAAGGUGAGCGAGCGAACUCUCGUUAAGGAACUCGGCAAAAUGACCCCGUAACUUCGGGAGAAGGGGUGCUCUUUAGGGUUAACGCCCAGAAGAGCCGCAGUGAAUAGGCCCAAGCGACUGUUUAUCAAAAACACAGGUCUCUGCUAAACCGUAAGGUGAUGUAUAGGGGCUGACGCCUGCCCGGUGCUGGAAGGUUAAGAGGAGUGGUUAGCUUCUGCGAAGCUACGAAUCGAAGCCCCAGUAAACGGCGGCCGUAACUAUAACGGUCCUAAGGUAGCGAAAUUCCUUGUCGGGUAAGUUCCGACCCGCACGAAAGGCGUAACGAUUUGGGCACUGUCUCAACGAGAGACUCGGUGAAAUCAUAGUACCUGUGAAGAUGCAGGUUACCCGCGACAGGACGGAAAGACCCCGUGGAGCUUUACUGUAGCCUGAUAUUGAAAUUCGGCACAGCUUGUACAGGAUAGGUAGGAGCCUUUGAAACGUGAGCGCUAGCUUACGUGGAGGCGCUGGUGGGAUACUACCCUAGCUGUGUUGGCUUUCUAACCCGCACCACUUAUCGUGGUGGGAGACAGUGUCAGGCGGGCAGUUUGACUGGGGCGGUCGCC